rnacentral:rRNA from 2 species
AUGCCACGGUGAAUACGUUCCCGGGCCUUGUACACACCGCCCGUCACACCAUGGGAGUGGGUUGCAAAAGAAGUAGGUAGCUUAACCUUCGGGAGGGCGCUUACCACUUUGUGAUUCAUGACUGGGGUGAAGUCGUAACAAGGUAACCGUAGGGGAACCUGCGGUUGGAUCACCUCCUUA